rnacentral:rRNA from 1 species
UACGUAGGGUGCAAGCGUUAAUCGGAAUUACUGGGCGUAAAGCGUGCGUAGGCGGUUUGUUAAGUCCGAUGUGAAAGCCCUGGGCUCAACCUGGGAAUGGCAUUGGAUACUGGCGAGCUAGAGUGCGGUAGAGGGGUGCGGAAUUCCCGGUGUAGCGGUGAAAUGCGUAGAGAUCGGGAGGAACAUCCGUGGCGAAGGCGGCACCCUGGACCAGCACUGACGCUGAGGCACGAAAGCGUGGGGAGCAAACAGG